ACGGAAGGCAGCAGUGAGGAAUAUUGGUCAAUGGACGAAAGUCUGAACCAGCCAUGCCGCGUGCAGGAAUAAGGCCCUAUGGGUCGUAAACUGCUUUUGUGGUGGAGCAAUAAGUCGUACGUGUACGGCGAUGAGAGUACAUCACGAAUAAGCAUCGGCUAACUCCGUGCCAGCAGCCGCGGUAAUACGGAGGAUGCAAGCGUUAUCCGGAUUUAUUGGGUUUAAAGGGUGCGUAGGCGGCACGUUAAGUCAGCGGUGAAAUGUCGGGGCUCAACCCGGGCACUGCCGUUGAAAUUGGCGAGCUUGAGUACGGAUGAAGUUGGCGGAAUGUGAUGUGUAGCGGUGAAAUGCUUAGAUAUGUCACAGAACACCGAUUGCGAAGGCAGCUGACUAAUCCGCAACUGACGCUCAGGCACGAAAGCGUGGGGAUCGAACAGGAUUAGAUACCCUGGUA
rnacentral:rRNA from 1 species